rnacentral:rRNA from 1 species
AUUCUCCCUUUAGAGGAUGGCUCAGGACGAACGCUGGCGGCGUGCCUAAUACAUGCAAGUCGAACGAACGGAGGAAGAGCUUGCUCUUCCAAAGUUAGUGGCGGACGGGUGAGUAACACGUGGGCAACCUGCCUGUAAGUUGGGGAUAACUCCGGGAAACCGGGGCUAAUACCGAAUGAUAGAAUGUGGCGCAUGCCACGCUUUUGAAAGAUGGUUUCGGCUAUCGCUUACAGAUGGGCCCGCGGUGCAUUAGCUAGUUGGUAGGGUAAUGGCCUACCAAGGCAACGAUGCAUAGCCGACCUGAGAGGGUGAUCGGCCACACUGGGACUGAGACACGGCCCAGACUCCUACGGGAGGCAGCAGUAGGGAAUCUUCCGCAAUGGACGAAAGUCUGACGGAGCAACGCCGCGUGUAUGAAGAAGGUUUUCGGAUCGUAAAGUACUGUUGUUAGAGAAGAACAAGGAUAAGAGUAACUGCUUGUCCCUUGACGGUAUCUAACCAGAAAGCCACGGCUAACUACGUGCCAGCAGCCGCGGUAAUACGUAGGUGGCAAGCGUUGUCCGGAUUUAUUGGGCGUAAAGCGCGCGCAGGCGGUCUUUUAAGUCUGAUGUGGAAGCCCCCGGCUUAACCGGGGAGGGUCAUUGGAAACUGGAAGACUGGAGUGCAGAAGAGGAGAGUGGAAUUCCACGUGUAGCGGUGAAAUGCGUAGAUAUGUGGAGGAACACCAGUGGCGAAGGCGACUCUCUGGACUGUAACUGACGCUGAGGCGCGAAAGCGUGGGGGAGCAAACAGGAUUAGAUACCCUGGUAGUCCACGCCGUAAACGAUGAGUGCUAAGUGUUAAGGGGUUUCCCGCGCCUUAGUGCUGCAGCUAACGGCAUUAAGCACUCCCGCCUGGGGCAGUACGACCGCCAGGGUUGAAACUCAAAGGAAUUGACGGGGGCCCGCACAAGCGGUGGAGCAUGUGGUUUAAUUCGAAGCAACGCGAAGAACCUUACCAGGUCUUGACAUCCUUUGACCACUCUGGAGACAGAGCUUUCCCUUCGGGGACAAAGUGACAGGUGGUGCAUGGUUGUCGUCAGCUCGUGUCGUGAGAUGUUGGGUUAAGUCCCGCAACGAGCGCAACCCUUGAUUUUAGUUGCCAGCAUUUAGUUGGGCACUCUAAAGUGACUGCCGGUGCAAGCCGGAGGAAGGUGGGGAUGACGUCAAAUCAUCAUGCCCCUUAUGACCUGGGCUACACACGUGCUACAAUGGAUAGUACAAAGGGUCGCGAAGCCGCGAGGUGGAGCUAAUCCCAUAAAACUAUUCUCAGUUCGGAUUGUAGGCUGCAACUCGCCUACAUGAAGCCGGAAUCGCUAGUAAUCGUGGAUCAGCAUGCCACGGUGAAUACGUUCCCGGGCCUUGUACACACCGCCCGUCACAUAAUAGCAU